AGGACGAACGCUGGCGGCGUGCUUAACACAUGCAAGUCGAGCGGAAAGGCCCUUCGGGGUACUCGAGCGGCGAACGGGUGAGUAACACGUGAGCAACCUGCCCUUAGCUCUGGGAUAGCUCCGGGAAACCGGAAUUAAUACCGGAUAUGACCUAGGCCGACAUCGGCCGUGGUGGAAAGUUUUUCGGCUAGGGAUGGACUCGCGGCCUAUCAGCUAGUUGGUGGGGUAAUGGCCUACCAAGGCGACGACGGGUAGCCGGCCUGAGAGGGCGACCGGGCCACACUGGGACUGAGACACGGCCCAGACUCCUACGGGAGGCAGCAGUGGGGAAUCUUGCGCAAUGGGCGAAAGCCUGACGCAGCGACGCCGCGUGGGGGAUGAAGCUUCUCGGAGUGUAAACCCCUUUGACCCCGGAAGAAUGCCCGCAAGGGUAUGACGGUACGGGUAUAAGAAGCCCCGGCUAACUACGCGCCAGCAGCCGC
rnacentral:rRNA from 1 species